UAAAGCCGUUUCCCGCUGUCAUCCUGUAUGGGUAAAAAUCCCGUAAUUCACACGGAAUUUGCAAACAGAGCCAGGAAGUGCGCGCACGAGUAUCACUCUUGACUUUUUCCUAUCUCUAUGGACACGUCUGUUCCCGGUACAAAGGCUUGCUUUGUGAGCAGAGCCAGGAGGAAGUGCGCCCACGGGGAUCACUCUUUACCUUUUCUCUAUGGUGCUAGCUGCUUCCGCUCUGCUUCCGCGGCUUACAUUUUCUGUAGGCUCUCUUCCCUUCCCCCUUGGCACCACGUUUGGGGAUCCCUGCUUUUGGUGGGGGUAAGUUCUCUUUCAGAAGAGCAAGUCUGGGCUGGUGGAAGGAAUCCUGCAAAUAUCAGAUGGUGCCACUUUACGAGGUUGGCAGGAGCUGGGACCAAGCAACGGGAGCUCACCCCGUCACAGGGAUUCGAACCGCCGACCUUCUGAUCAGCAAGCCGUAAGCUCAGUGGUUUAACCACAGCGCCACCUGGCUAGAUUCACCUUCAAAUUGGAGCCUGGCUGAUGAAAAUGUGAAAUUGGAGGAAUGACUUGUUAGAAGUAAGCCUUGCAAUAGUGAUGGUGGUGGGAGGGUGGGCAAGAUUCCAUAGUCCUGAAACAUGCAUUUUAGAAUUGGGUGCACACAAAUGAUUGUCGUGGACCCACACUGCCAUUAGUUUGUCCUUAUUUGAAAUGAUUAUUAGUAUUUUUUUUUAGCAUGGUCUACCAUGUCCUAAGAUCUGUCCUUGGAUGGUGUGGGAUUCACUGCAGCUUGUGCUUCUCCCGCAUUAUUCAGAUAAUGUUGGGAAGAUCUGGGCCACAUGGGCAGAGCUCAUAAUAAAAACCAGUGUGCUAAAGUGGUUGGAGUGCUAAUCUAGAACCUUGGAGACUAGAGUUCAAAUCCCCAAUCAGCCAUGAAGCUCACUGGGCGACCUUGGGCCAGUCAUUCAGCUUAACCUACCUCAUAGGGUUAUUGUUAUUGUUAUUGUUAUUGUUUUGUUUUGUUUUUAAAGGAUCAAGUAGCAGGUGUUGAGGAAAGGUCUGUAUCUGAGAGCAUGGAGAACUGUUUCCAGUUAGGGUAAACAGAUAUUAGAUUAGAUUUGGGAUGUCAGAGAAUACCAGAUUUUGCUGCAAAACCAGUCAUCAGACCAGUGCAAACAGGCCACAGACCUGCAGUUUAGUUCUUUAGAUCUACAACUCUUUCUGAGGGUUGGUUCAACUAUUGUACUUAGGAGGUCAACUGACGGCUUGCUCUCUUUGAAUGAUUGAUUGAUUGAUUGAUUGCUUUAACGGUGCAAAGCUGCUUGGAGCAGCUUUAAGGCAUCGUGCCUUAAGUAAAAACACUUUGAAAAUUCUGCAGGAAGUGUGUAACUGUUACAUAGCUGCCAAGUCUAUGUAAUCUUCUGAUUUCUUCCGGUGCCGCUCUGCCCAUGUCUGGGCAC